rnacentral:rRNA from 1 species
CUAAUACCGGAUGGUUGUUUGAACCGCAUGGUUCAAACAUAAAAGGUGGCUUCGGCUACCACUUACAGAUGGACCCGCGGCGCAUUAGCUAGUUGGUGAGGUAACGGCUCACCAAGGCAACGAUGCGUAGCCGACCUGAGAGGGUGAUCGGCCACACUGGGACUGAGACACGGCCCAGACUCCUACGGGAGGCAGCAGUAGGGAAUCUUCCGCAAUGGACGAAAGUCUGACGGAGCAACGCCGCGUGAGUGAUGAAGGUUUUCGGAUCGUAAAGCUCUGUUGUUAGGGAAGAACAAGUACCGUUCGAAUAGGGCGGUACCUUGACGGUACCUAACCAGAAAGCCACGGCUAACUACGUGCCAGCAGCCGCGGUAAUACGUAGGUGGCAAGCGUUGUCCGGAAUUAUUGGGCGUAAAGGGCUCGCAGGCGGUUUCUUAAGUCUGAUGUGAAAAGCCCCCGGCUCAACCGGGGAGGGUCAUUGGGAAACUGGGGAAC